AUAUGUUUAUGCAUCUAUUAGUGUAUUUAUGGUCAUUUUUUUAACCCUUAUCUCCUCCCAUAUUAUCAUAUUCUUAAUAUCUUAGUCGAUUACCGAACCGGUAAAAUAGAGACGACACCGGUCUGUUCCUCCUAUUCAAAUCCUCCCAACCAUUCCUCAUCGGCACCACAUCGCUGCAUCUCUAUUCCUCUCCAGAUUGUUUCGACUGUUGGGGAUCCAAACCUUUCUUGUUAACAGAACCGCUCUAAAUUCUCUUAAACCCUGACAAGUGACAACCACUAACACUUCGACCACUUCUUAUCCUCAUAUACAGAAUUGGGACAUUAUAUGCAUUCAUAGUAUUCGAUGAAAGUCCUCGAUGAAGUCUGGUAAAAAAAUUUCAUCAAACUUCUUAUUAACUGCCACUAAUUCAUUCCCUCAUUCACUAGAAUUAUGCACUGACAAGCCCAAGUUCAUCCAUUGCAAAGAAGAUCCUGCAUUUGGAUAUACCCGUUAACAGCUUCCCAAAUUUUAACUUCGUUGGGAGGCUUCUGGUUCCUAGAGGCAAUUCAUUGAAGCGGGUUGAAACCUCAAUUGUAUUUCUUCUCUUCAUCAGAGGCCAGGGCUCCAUUAAAGAUCCUAAAAAGGGUUUUGGAUGUAUUGUGAAAAGAUGAAGUCAUGCUUUACCAAUGACAUAUGAGGAAUAGUUCUAAAAUGAUAAUGGUAAUAGAUAAUUUUUUGAUGGAACUGUUAGCAAGGGAAAUGCCUUCAACUCUGAUAAUAUAGUUUCACGUGGACCAGAAUUUAUUAUUUAUUUUGGAAAGUAGUUUAAAAAGAAGCAAGGUUCAUUACCCUUUCGAUUGAUCUUGAACUUUUUUGAACGACAAUAUUAAUAUAACUUCUAAUUUUUUUCAACAUAAUUUUUAAUUAAGGAUAUGAUAAAAUAGAUUAUGUUGCAGGCUAAGUAACUGGCCCUUUUAAGGCAAUUUAUGAGUUGUUGCCCAUUCAAAUUAUUGUUUGAUUACUCUUAGAAACCGAUAGUAUUUCUGCACUCUAACUAUGCAAAUCUUAUAUUAGCAACAUAUACAUGUUUUACCUUUGAAACUUUUGAUUUUGAUUUUGAUUUCCAAGCAUUGAGUGCGGGAAUUUGUUGCACCAUUAAAAGGUUAAUAUCAUGAUUCUUUGCUUCCAUCUCUCUCUCUCUCUCUCUCUCUCCAAAUAAUGCAUGUAAGGUGAUUGAUGUUGGUAUGCAUAUAAUUUGUACAGGUCUUGGUAGGAUCGUUCUAAAUCUGGUAUCAAGGAGACUCGCAAACAAUACUGGUAGAGGCGUUUAUUGAGUAUUGACAUUUUUUGCUUAAAUUUUUCAUCAUGUGAGGGACAUUCAAAAUAGAACCAAACUAAAAUCAUAAAAAAAAAAGCAGUUCUUUAACAUAAUUUUUUCAACUACAAUUCCAUUUUUAUUUAUUUCUUAAGUACUUAAAACUUUAAAAAUAGCAUCAUACUUUCAAAAUUCUACCAAAAUACCGUGUUGUGAGAAAGCAGGAUGCUAUUUCGACAUACUUUUUCUACUUGUCAAAAGAUACCUCCAACUUAGUCUUUAAAAUCUGUCAUUUUACUCAAAUUUUCUAAUUAUAAUAUUAAAAUUCACAAAAUUUAUCAAUGGUUCAGUUGUAUCAUUAUUUACAUUUGUCACCGUAUCGUUGCCCACUAUGACUUUCCGAGGUAUACAAGCGUUUAUGUUUGACAUUAAACUUUUGCUCUUAAUGAUCCUUAAUUUUUACACCAUUGACAUAGGGAUAAAUUAGUCAAGUCCUAGAAAACAAGACAUAGGUAUGUAAGCAAAAACUUUAUUUUAUACGAAUUUUGUUUUGUGUUUUACAAGAGAUAUUGCUUAUUUUUGGAAAACGGACAAACUGAGAUAUGAAUUGAUGAAAACACAUACAAUUAGGAUAAAAUGGUGGAACUUGAAAAGACGAUUAGCGAGUAGCCUUUGGAGGUCAUAAAGAGUCGGAAAGAUGAGGAGAAAAUGAUCUAUACGAAGUGAAAGCAUGAGAAUAUUAUUCAGAUGUUCGAUUCGUUUGAAACCACACAAGAGUUAUAUGUUGUCACAUGAGGGGAUUUUCUCGACUAAUUUGGAACUGCAUCGUUAGUUUUUAUUUGGAUUACCAACCCUUGCAACGUGGGGAAUUUCACUAGUUUAUGUUAAAUAAAUGGAUUUAUUUUAAUUAUUAUUAAUAUUAUUAUUAUCUUUUAUAUUAUAAAACCUACAAAACUUGAUCUUUGA